CCCUCGGACACUGCUCUGCGCUUUGUUUCCAGACACCUGCCUGAGCUCUCAGCCCCCGCCCGGACCCCGGUGCGUAGGCAGCAGGUUCUUCCUGCUCCUGUAAGUCCCUCCUGUUGAGCCUGGCUUUUCGUGGCCCGGGUUAAUCGCGGUGCUGAGAGGCUGGUUGGGGUUUUGCUCCCCCGGAGGAAAGCGCACGGUGUGCUGAUGGCAGGCUGCCUGCUGAGCAAGAGCGGGGCAGGGUGUGCCUCCCCAGCUGCUGCUCCACGAUGAAGUAAGCAUUUACCCAGCUAUCAGAGCCUUAUCUCCACCAAACUUUCCCAGCCAGGCAGCUGAAAGGACCAGCAGUAGUUUUACACGUGUGAAAACAAUAGUUUUGUUGGUUUCUUUUUGUUUUGUUUGGAUUUUUGAUUUGUUUGUGCGUUUUACUCUUUGAGUUUGUCUGUUUGUUUUUGGUCAGCGAUGGUAAACCUUAACCUUACAGGCUAGAAGGGGGAGAAGUGGUUUCCUGAGAUGCAUGAGGCUGGUUUGUACCAGCACACACCCAUUCAGAAACUCCCAUCACUCUCCUUCCCAGAGCAGAGGCCAGGCUGAGCACAUGGAUCUGUGCCCCUUCAGGCUUCUCCAAAGGACUAAAUAGAAACAAUUAAGUGCUUUUUUGCUUUAAGGAUUUGUUUAAUACUGCGUGCUGGGAACCUUAACUAUGUGAAAAAUUUUGGGAUAGGCUGGGCUGGGUUAAAAGCUGCACACCAAAGAAACUGUCGGGAUACAUGAGCGGAAUGUUUUUGCUACUAGGAAAUCCAGGGACUGACAAUGAUUUGUGCUUGUGUGUCUCCAGUAGUGAUUUUGGAUUGUAUUCUUCAUUUAAGUGCUGGAGUGACUUGUAUAUACAGAAGCAGGAAAGUGCAGAAUGAGGGGGUAUUGGAUAACACCAGUGGAAGUGAUCAGAAACUCCCUGGAGAAAACCAGAAACUUCUGAUGUGUGAAAUAAGGAGAACUGUUUGGAGGAAUGAUGUCUGCAGUUAAAUAUUUACUUUAUGACAUCAACAUGCUGUAGUUAAGAGGUACUUGAUGAAUAUAACUUACAAGCUGGGAUGACUCUAAUGCUUUCUACCUGCUGGAGAUCUCAACAGAAAAUUCUGCAUUCUGAUUGUGUAUGUGCUCAUAAAGACAGUGAAGAACUAAGAUAAGAAUAUUUUAGAAGAAAGCAGUAUAGAUUGUUUAUUAUCUAGAUAAUACAAAGGCAACAAGAAUACUUAGCUGCUUCUUGUUGGAAGGCAGGAGAAACUACCAUUACUUCGUAAAGGACCUUCCAGCUUUGUGUCAUGCCCGUCUACUCAACCCUCACCCUGAGUUCCAAGCUGAGUGUCUCAGAGGGUGGUGCCAGCUGUGAAAUAGCUGCUGACAGCUCCAGUGCAAGGGCAUGAAUGUACAAGGAGUCUGUGGUGCAUUUAAGUGUAAGUAAAAUACCUGCAUGCCACUGUGGGAACUUCUUUUGUGUCGUAACAAGAGCUUUGUGUGAGGAAACUGCUGUACAAGUAGCAGGUAAUCUCCAUUGUGUUAUGUCAGCAUUGUUAAUUAAUUAAUCACUGUUAAUAGAAGGGGAAAAAGAUUUUUGGAAUUGUUCAUGUAUGCCUCCUGGAGAGUGGAUGUGACUCCAUCCCCUGGCCCUGCCCAUAUCCCAGGAGAAGGCUCCAGGUGUGGACUGGGAGUGAUGGAUCAGCCCCAUCCAAACUCUGCUGGAACUCAUCCCUGCUCUGAAGAUGGAGGAGCAAUGCAGAACUCCACUGGGAGAAGCCCUCAGAGCUUUAACACUCACCAGUGGUUAUCCAAAUGUUUCUGACUGUGCAGCUUUUAGCAAAAUAUUUGUAAGGGUCUUCUGUCUGUGUGUGUGCAGGUGUGGUGGAGGUUUUUCAAAACCAUGUGACACAAAACCACCAUAGCUGAUUUAUUAUUGAGAUGUAACAAAAAAAAUCAAGUUAUUAUGCAUUGAGAAAACAGGACAGCACAGUCCUGCUUUAGAGAAGACUGUGACUUUGUCCUGUGUGUCCCUCUGAGCUCAGCCUGGGUUUCCAACUCUUAUUUUGAGGACUGGCAGUGAAAUCCCCACUUGGGGUGGCUCCACUGGUAAACAGAUGUGUGAAGACUUCUGCUAUAGAUAAUGACUAGAAGUGUGCUAUGCAGAUCAUAGAAAAUAUAAAGAUAAGUGAAAAAGGGUGCAGCAAAUGUUUGAGAUAGAGUAUUUCCCAUGAAUAUGCAGUUUUUAGCAUGGCAGAGCAAUAAGUGCCUUUUGCAUGUAACUUUCCUACUUGUGAAGUAUUUUUUCAGGUAAAAUAGCUUUGAUUUAGCAAGCUGUGUGAUGAAGAUGCUCAGAAGGAUGGAAACAUCAAAUAAGGGCUUUGACUGUCAUAUUCAGCAAUAAAAUGUCAACAAGUAAGUGAACCAUCUUGAAGAAAGUAUCUUGAAGAAAUCUGUGUUCCAUUCCACACACUACAUGCAGAAGGGAAGGGUUUUUCUAGACCAGGUCAUCUUGUUUUUUGUGUACUCCCUGGUGUCCUUUUCAUCUUCCUGUAAAAAUGCUUGGUUUUUCAGUUAAAUUGGUUGGCCUAAUAAAAGAUAUCAGAAAUUAUGUUGUUUGACAAA